rnacentral:misc_RNA from 1 species
UCUCCGUAGGUGAACCUGCGGAGGGAUCAUUACAGAGUUCGUGCCCUCGCGGGUCGAUCUCCCACCCUGUGUUAUUGCUACCUUUGUUGCUCUGGCGGGCCGCCCUCGGCUCCCGCCCCCGGCUGGUACGCGCCCGCCAGAGGAACCCACACCCUGAACGUCAGUGUCGUCUGCGUACUAUACUAUAGUUAAAACUUUCAACAACGGAUCUCUUGGCUCUC